rnacentral:rRNA from 1 species
UGGGGAAUAUUGCACAAUGGAGGGAACUCUGAUGCAGCGACGCCGCGUGAACGAAGAAGGCUUUCGAGUCGUAAAGUUCUUUUAUAUGGGAAGAUAAUGACGGUACCAUAAGAAAAAGCCCCGGCUAACUACGUGCCAGCAGCCGCGGUAAUACGUAUGGGGCUAGCGUUGUCCGGAAUCACUGGGCGUAAAGGGUUCGCAGGCGGAAAUGCAAGUCAGGUGUAAAAGGCAGUAGCUUAACUACUGUAAGCAUUUGAAACUGCAUAUCUUGAGAAGAGUAGAGGUAAGUGGAAUUUUUAGUGUAGCGGUGAAAUGCGUAGAUAUUAAAAAGAAUACCGGUGGCGAAGGCGACUUACUGGGCUCAUUCUGACGCUGAGGAACGAAAGCGUGGGUAGCAAACAGG